rnacentral:lncRNA from 1 species
UGCGCGGCGGCGGAGGCGGGCAGAGCGGAGGCCGCCGUGGGGCCCGGGGUUCGCUUAUCCUCAGGGGCGGGCGACGCGGGGGGAGGCGGCCGGGCCGGUCCCUACCUGCUACCGGAACGCGCUGGCUCCUACCGGGGAGAGCCUCUUCCUUCCGCGGCAACCUGGAGGCCGAGUCGCCCAUCCUGAAGGUGGAGCUGCAGAGCCGGAGGAGGCGCCGCGGCGCCGUUAGCAUCGCCCUCUGAGGGCGGGGAAGGGAGGCGAAGGACUCUGCUCAUCUUUGCAGCAGUCCACUAUGUCAUGUUUAGUCAACACACUGCAUCAUGAUGAUUGGACAAUUUAUUUUUAUUGUCUUUUCCAAUCUGUAUGAUUCUACGCCAGUCUUGCAUGAUUUCUUGUUGGCUUUUUUAUGUGUAUAUAGAAUACGUGCUAAAUAACAAAUCUUCCAAUACCAGUGUCUAUGUGUAUGUUUGCAAUAAAAACACAGGAACAAGAAGUGAAUGGAGUAUCAAGACUUGCAGAAAAUACCCAUCAUCUUUCAGAGAGUAAUACACGUAAUGUGUAUUUUAUAUACAGCAACAAGCACUACAUUUCCUAAGGUGGAAGACACAGAAGCUGGAACACUGCUGUUUUGUUUUUCAGAGAACUGUUUGUGAAGUCGUGGGCAGGAGAAGGGAAGUUUGUUCCAAAACUGCUGACUGCAAAGAAAGUUUGAGAACUAGGCAGAUGCCUUGCACUGUGAAUUUCAGAAUAAGGGAAAAGAUAAUGCACAAAUGUGAAGCAAAGACAUUAUGGGAAGGAAAUGAGAGUAAUUCAAUGCAAAAUUCAUAUGGAGGGUUGUAAAGAAGUUGGAUGCUUGCCUGAAUAGAAAAGAAUAUGAUAAAAUGACAAUCUAGUCUGACAGAGGGAGGCCAGAUAGUUCUCUCAAAAAUGUAUUGUGCCAAAAGAACGAAGUGCCAUUCACCUCCCAGUCAAACAGGAUUUUACAGGAAUGUGAUGCUCUUGUGACACAGCGUUUAUUCAGCUUUAUAGAGAUGUUGGAUGUGGAUGCUUACAGUGUCGCUGAGAAUUCCUAGAUGCUCCCAAAAGAAUCUGAAGAAGCAGGAAAUCCAUGGUGUAAGAGCCAGGCUUCUCAUAAAAUUCACAUCUCAGAUGGGGACCUGAGAAAUGAGCUGUCCCAUGUCUGUCUUCAGAUUCACUGUUCUUCCCAGAAUAACAGAAUUGUAGGGGUUGGAAGGGAGUUCUGGAGAUCAUCUAGUCCAACCUAAGGCAGGUUGUCUCGAGUUCCUGUACAUGAAACAGCGUUCUCUUUGAAGCACAAGUAGUCCCGUGCUUGCAGUCCAUUUGGAGUUUUAUAUAUAUUUCUAUUGAGAAAUAGGACCAGAGAGGAGCUCAGGUGAUAUCUUAAAAAUCUGCAAUAACUUAAAGGAAAUCCAUUAGAGAAGUAAACAUAGAGAUGCAUAUGAUGGAUAACUGUGAUAUUUCAACAGCAUACACUUCAAAGAAUUGGAAAUGUUCAGUGAAAAACCGUGAAUUCCAUCUAAAACAUAUUCUCUUAUAUAGCAUCAACAAUACUGAUGAUUCCCAACUCUUAUAAGCCACUAAAAAUGAUGACAUCCACUGGACUGGUAGCAAAUAAUUCUCUUCCUCCUUGUUUGUCUCCAUUUUUUUCCAUUUCUCCUUGUAUUUCUAUACUCACUUCACUCUCUGCCAAGGACAUGCAUCUAAAAAAAAUUCAAUGAUUAAUGUUACGAUGGACAGCAGUGCAGUUUUUACUGUAAGAGUUAAUGUGUCUGUCGAUGAAACUGUGAAUGCCCAACCUGAAUCUUUUACUGUGAGCACUCCUGCUGCCUCGUUGUGAGUGGUUCCAUUUUCAUUGCCAUCUUCCUUGCAUGAAUCGAGGUCAAUCAGAGGUGAAAGACAGAAAAACAGACUUCUGUUUGGGCAAUUCAGUCUGCAGAUGAAGUGGCUGAGACCUUUCAGGGCCCUUAUGCGCUCUGAAAAGCCAGCAUCCCCUCUGCUCAGUGUUCCCAGUGGUCUUCUAUGCUGAAUAUGCUGCCCGAAUGUAUUUAGAUUAUGUCUCUUAAAUCAGAGGUGUUCUUUGUUACAGGGAAAAACUGCUUUGUCACCCAUUGCAUUCAGCUGCUUCAUUUGUGAAGCUGACAGCAGCAGAGCAGGGCGCUAAAGGAUUGACAUUGGGACUCCAAAACAGUGGUUAGAGCAGUGACAGAUAGCGGGGCUGCUGAAGCAUUUCGAUUACAGCUAUUAAGGGCAGGAAACAGUCUUUCAUUCUGUGUUUGUAUGGCACUUCACACACUGUGUUCCUGCUUCAGAGCUGGAUCCUAAGUAUUAAAUAGUAAUAAGCCGUGAUGCCACUUAACAAAUAAAAACUGCUGGUUCAGAGGAGUGUUUAGUGCUUCUUCACUCCGUGGAAACAGAAUACUUUUUUAAUUCAUUAAAUCUCCUUUGUAUUUCAGGAAAGUGUGAACUAUCCCCUCUUCCCAUUCUAGAGGCUGAGAAGGAAGAGCCUAAAAUUUACACCAUAGGUUUUUAAAGUUUUCAUACCAAGAAUUUGCCUGUCCAAGAAAGCAGCAGAACCCAAUUAUCUUUGUACUGAUAAUACAUUGUGCUUCAUGUUGAAACGUGGACUUCAUAUCUGCCAACACAUUGAAUUGAAUUAAGAAGUGUAUCAGAAAAAAAAUCACAUUAAAGUGCCUGCCUGUUGCUUGGAUUCCCAUGUAAUAAUACAGUAUUCCUAGUAUAACCAUUUUACAGUGCUGAAGACCUUCAGGAAAUCAGUGUGAAGAAAGAGAAAGGUGCAAAGGAGAAAACAGGAAGAAAAGGGAUGUGAACUUAUCUGUGUCCUUCCAGGCAGGGCUAUACACAGAUUCCCAAUCAUUCCAUUUUUUGGGAUCGUGAUCAAAAUGCAUUUGACAUUUACUGUAUAUAGUCCUUGCCUUUAGAGCAGAAUUUGCUCGCCUUUUUGGAUAAUUGUUUUUUCCACUGUAGCAAAAUUUGCUGUGUUUUGCAACCAGUAAAGCCCCUGUGACUACCAUCCCCCCACCCCCCCACGUGACUAUCUCAUGGUAAUAACACUGAUUGUAAAGCCAGGUUUCUGUUGCAGUGUGCAUCUUCUGGAAGAGCACUGUUUCGGUUUUUGUUUUUUGAUUUUCAAACAUGUAGCAAUAGAGGAUCCUUCGUGGGCUUUGGUGGAUUAUUCAGUGCUUAAUUGCUGUUAGAAACACGCACUUUAUUGUUAGUUCAGCUUCCUUUGAAUCAUAGCUUAUCUUUCCUUGCAUUUCUUGUUUUCUAAUUCUGCAAGUAUUGUCAUUGCCCUUCUUUGAACCCUCUCCAGGUUUUUAGUUGACGUAUUUCCUUACUUAAUUAUUUAUUUCAUUGCCCAGUCUGAUGAAGGUAUGAAUAAUUAGUGCAGCAUUCUGGUACUGGUCACAACAAAGCAAGUACAGAUCUAGUAUGGUUUCCUGGUUCCUGCUUGGUUUCGUGUUCAUAUGUCCAAGGCAGUCAGUAUUAGCCUUGCAGCCCUGGAGGUAUGCUACUGACAUUCCCAAGGGCUCUUCAGGAAUUUAUUACCAAUGUAUAGAAAUACAUACAUUAUGGCAGAUAUGCAGGAAACUAUGUUCUAUGUCUUUCCUUGGCCUCCUUUAAAUUAUUAGGAUAGUCUUGUACCAAUUUCUAAUCAUCUUUGUUACUACCACAUCCACAGUUUUUGGGUCAGCUGCUAGCAGUUGGAAAUUACUGUCUAUAUUCCUCUCUAUCAUUGUUAGGAAUGUCCAAUAAUGGAGCUCAGAACUGAUGCCUACAUGACAUCACUGUAAACAUGCCAACCCUGUGAAGAUUGCCUCGUUGCAGUCACAGUUUGUGACCAGUUAGGUAAUGAGAUCUCUGAAAAUGAACAUAUUUUCAUCAGGACAAACCUGCUGCUUCCCCACUUCUAGCAAAAAGACAUGAACUGGUGCUCGGGAGGUUUUUCAAUCAAGGGAAGUAGAGAUUUUAAGUACCACAAUUCUUUUAGGAAGCAACAAACCUGAAUUCCUGUAUCAGCAGCUGUAUCUGUUACCCAGAAGGACAGUGAAGAUCAUAAUACAGUAAAGCAAUCUACAUGAAACAGUUUCUAGAGAGAGGAGGGAAGAUUAAUCAGUCAUUCACGUGCUUUCCAUUUGUGAUCUAGAUGAGAAUUUGGAUACAGAUUCAGCUACAUAAAUUACACUAAAAAUGGAACUGACGUAGAAGAGCCAUCAGCACUGUACCUCAGAGUAGUGCAGUGAUUUGGGGUUUACAGAAGAAUAUAAAAAACAAGGGACAAUUUAAUGGAGUACCGUGCAUGCCAGGGAGAAGGCAAAAAUGCAGGAUACCAGCAGUGUGCUUACACAGGUUGUUCUUUGUUUUUCCAUUUCAACAUAGCAAUUAUGUAAAAAAAGCUAAUGAAACAGAUAUGCUAUCUGCCAGUUUUCCUUCCUAUCAGCCUGCAUAUGCCUUGGUUCUCUCUUUCAGUGAAGGUUCAGGAUGUAUCUUUAUAGCUGAUCCCAAUAUGUUCAAACAAGCCAGGGUGAUGCAGAUGAGCAUUUUUUGGAUCUGUCCAUCAAUGUUUCUACGUGAAUCAGGCUUAGAGCUCUCCCAGUAACCAGGAGUUAGCAGUUGGCCAGUUUACAGAUGUCUUCUUCAGUGGUGUGGCUUAUCUCAGCUCUAUAAAUCUGGGCUUAAAAGCAGUUACCAGCAGCUGAGGCUCAGCUCUGGGGUUUUUUAAUCACAAUUUCCAGCUGUGGUACAGAGUACUCUGUAGGUCAAUUCCGGUUUCUACUCUGAGAAGACCAAUUACUCAGUACGUUCAGUGGCCUGUGCUGCACAGAUCAGUUUAGAUUUCAAUAUGGAUUUCACCAGAAAGUGUCAUGAUACGGCCCUUCCCUUGGUAAAAUUAUAUUGUUGAUAGAUUUUUCAAUGAAUAUCCUCUGCAUCUUUCACUUAGGAAUUUCUGUGUUUCUGUCCCCUUCAAUGCUAGUUAUGCAGGAUGGUCUUCAUGGAUAGAAAUGAAGUGGUGCAUGUGAGAACAGAAGAAAAAACAGCUUUGGGUAGGACUGAUAUCACCCAACCUUAGCUCUGGCAUCUCAUCCAAACUGAGCUUCUGAGUAUCAUCCAUACCAAAGAAAGGAAGGUCAGUAUCUCCAGAAAAUAAUUCAUCCCUUCUUAAAAUAGCAGAGGAAAGCAGAGAGGCUGGACUCAAGUUUAUUUCAUCUAGUUCACAGCAGAAGUUGCCCUGUUGAAUAGCUUGGAACAGAUAUCUUUUGAUAACCAGAAUUAGCUAUGUUCUUUUCCUUUAAUUUACCUAGAAAAAACUGCAGACUUUUACAGCAGACUUCAGUUCUGUAAAAUUUUUUCUCUUUUUAUGCAUUGACUUUCCAUUCCAAAAAAAAUAACUGUUUUAACACACUAUGCUUCAUAUAUCCCAUCACAGUGACCGUCUUUCAUUCCUCACUCCACAUUUUCCUUGUUGAUCUCAUAGUUCUCCAGAACUUUCUUCCCUCCUAAUGCAUUUUCUUCCCGAACCCCAAAUUCAUAUUUGCUGACCUAGUUGUCUUUUUUAAGUUCUUCCAAGUCAUAGAAAAGCUUUAUGUCCACUCACGUAAAUCCAUACAAGUGGCUAAAGUGCAUUGAGGUCUUCUGUUUGUUUAAAGUAGUUGUUAGUGAAGAAGCCACACAGUGCUAACUUGUAACCUGUCCCUCUCCUUCAGAGUAACCUUGCACUAGGGCAGCUGCUCCGUUACAGCUACCAUCCGGUCUGCCUUGUGAACGCAGACAAAUGGUGUAUAACUGGAUUUCCUUUAUAAUCUUCCAUAACAAGGAAGACCCACUUAAAUUCUGCAGAUAACAUAGAAUAUCUCCGAAAUCUGUAAAAACAUCACUUCUCUAGCCAAUAAAGCAAGGGCAUUUUUUCCUGUCAGGAUGCCUUGUAGUAGAUUAGAUAGCAGAAAAUGUAUUACUGACGUGUGUUUUUGGCAGCCUUCUCUGCUUAUAUGCAUGGAAAAACACUUAAUCUAAAUACUGUGGCUCUGUGGUUGUUUUCAUCUGAAGUUAAAGCCACGCAAUUAAAAAAAUACUAAUAAUAAAGCUAAUGGAAUCGAUUAAGUUUUUUAGGUGGAAAAUGCAGCCAAUGGAAGGUUGGAGCUGAUGCAUCGGUAUCACGUUCACAAGAUGCGGUCCCUCGAUAAAGGCUCAGAGACCUCUGCAACAUCAACACGGGCUGAGGAUGUUCUCUAAAUGCUUUGCACUGUGUCUCGUAGAUUCCUUGGCUUUGUCAGCUGGUGCUAGUUUGUAUGCAGUGGCACUGAUGACUUUAUAAAAACAAAUGACAGAGUUGUUUACACGGCCUUGCUAAAGGAAAUAAUCACAUUUAAUAGUGCUGGUUUCCCAUACAGGCCUUUAAAAAGGGGCUCUCCUGCUAUAUGCUGUAAUAAGCUUUUUAUAAAUGCGUUCCUGUGGUGCUCAGUACAGCCUGCUGUGCUGAUACUAUAAAACCAAAGGGGAGCUUCAUAAGCUUUAAGUGCAAUCAUAUAUUACUGUGCAGCAGCAUUCCCUUUUAUUAAUAAAGUUUGUAAGAAAUACCCAGGCAAAGAUUAAAAAUACAUGUAUGACACUAUCCACGGUAAUAAAAGCUGAUGUUGUCUGGACUGCUUGUUUAUUUGCUAAUGCCGUAUGAGAUGUUUUAAGGAGCACGGUGAAUAUGAUUGAACAGAUGAGCUCUUCCCUCGGGCCCUUCCUCGCCUGCCCAGCACCUUCCCGGGGAUGCUGAUGCUUCCCAGAGCUGCUGGCUGCUUCCUGAGCCCUCUGCUGGGCUCCUGCCUCCACUGCAGCAGGUCAGGGACGUGAGCUGCUUUCUCAUUGACUUGCAUAGGCAAAGCAUGUGAAGAUUAAAGCGGUGCUUCAUUAAAGGUGAUGAGAAGUUUUCACUGUUUUGGCCACAGGUAUCUUAUUUUGCUCUACCAUUCAGGAAUAACAGUGAUUAUUGAAUUGCAACACGGAAAGCUCUUCUGGGAAUAGAUGCACAGCACAGCCUGUCAUUGCUCAGCAAACUGAGCUCAGGUGCUGAGAAGGAGAGAGGUCCUAUGUUUGAGAUUGGAGAAAUCAUAUUGCAAUGGUUUAAGACACACCUUAAAUGCAACCAAAAUAUCAGGACGUUUUCUGAGGCCAGCAGGACUCUUGAAAGAGAAAUCAAGUGCUACAUAAUGUUAUAUUUUGAGGGAAAGAAGUUAACAGCAUAUGUAAAGUAGAUCAGACCACCUACUAAACUACUAUAUACCAAGUACUGACUUUAGAUUCCAUUUGUUACUAUGCUAUGCAGCAUAUUGCUUUGCAGCACAUACAGGAAGGCCCAGGUCCAGAUCUCCAAACAUACUGAGGCAUUGAAAUUCUGUAGGUUCUCUACAUAUUUCAGUCCUAGGGCAAUCAGUGUGUCUUGGACACCUCUCCUGCCCCCAGGGGCUUAUAUUCCAAAUGAGACAGAGUAUCUCAAACCCAUAAUGAGCCCUGUGCAGGAGCUGAUUUUCAGAUGGAGUUUUACAUGGUGAUGGGAUAGAAUUACUAGACUAAUUUAGAAAUAGUAGUGUGAAGAGGAUUAAAGUACAGUUCAUUCACAGAAGAGUGUGUUUCGACAAUUGUGUGGCAUAAGGCAUCAGAAUGAGUGCAAAGCAUUGCAAGUGAGACAGAAGAGUAGUCUAUUAUGAGCCUAGACUAUGGAGAGGAGCAAAACAAGGUGAUAAAUGGAACUUAGAUAUCAGCAAAACUGAAUGUAACUCUGUAGGUGGUCAAUAGCAAUAUUUCUUAUGGAAAAAACUGGACAGUGCAUAAGAUAGGACCGAUGUACAUGGAUUAAACUGAGGUUAUGACUCCCAGCAGCAAUGUUCUCGGACGAUGAAGGGUCCUGCAGCUGGAGUCAUUAAAAAUGCAACAUUUGUCAUAUCGCUGUAAUUGCAGUCCCUUGGUAUCUUCUAUUCCGAGUGUGAGAGGUUAUAAAUAUUGUUGAUGGCUCAACAUUUGCUUUAGAUUUCUUUACAAGGCAUCUUUGCACCACUUAUUCAUGUUAUUUUUGUCAAUGCAACCCUUCAGCUACGUGGUGUAGAUUUACAAUGAAAUCUGCAAUUUGCUUUUGUUUCAGUUCAUGCAAGUUUGGACCCUUCUUUUUUAAAGUGGAUUUUAAAGAUCGCUUUCCCUUCCCACUAGAAGAUGCAAAACAAGAAGCUGAUGGUACGGUUUUAACCUGUCUUUGGGAGGGUGUGUUCCUUCAAGUAUUUUCCAGGAUAGCUGGAGGAAUGCAAAAAAACCCUCAUUUGGGGAUGAGCAGUUCUGGCACAAAUACCAAGAGACGACACUUCCAUCCUUAAAAUAAGCCCCCCGACAUAAGUGAUAAUUUAAUAUACAUCAUGCCAUCUGCUUUCAGAAAUGUGCAAGCUGCUCCUAGAGAAGUUAACGGGAAAUGCAUUUUUCCUAUUAUUUUCAACAUCCCAAGAUGUAACUUGAUGUCACAAAAGCAUGCAUCUAGUCAUCUUUCCCCAAAGUAAAGUAUAGCUUGCCACUGGAUAGAAUGAUAACUGGUGCAAAACCCACUGCUUCUCCCCCCUCUGCCCUUCACAACCUGCCAGAAUUAAAUACAGACGUUGCAGAGUGCUCUGCUGGUUAGAAAGGCAGAUGGGGAAGAGAGGAGCUUUCAGAACCGUGAGGCUCAGAGGCUCUGGCAGCAGCUUUUCUCUUUCUCUGCCAACAGCUUCCACCUUGAGCACUUUUACUUCACCUAUAGAAACAUGUCACCAGGCAAGAGACGUGCCAACACAUGGAAGCAGCAUUCAAGGCCAGAGGAAGGACUGAGCUCACAGUUUCCCCUAUAUGGCACCCCAAAGAAAAUGCUAGGCUAGGCCAAGCCGUGCAUAGGUGUAGCCUUAGCAGGCAAACCCAGUCUGCUGAGUGAUCUUUUCUGAAUAAGCCCACUAGAAAAUGAUGGAAGAAUUUUUCUGUUUUUUGGGGGUUUUUUUGUUGUUGUUUUUCCUAUAUGUUCUACAAGAUGUGAGGGCACCAUAGAAUCACAGUGUAGCUUGGGUUGGAAGGGGCUUAUAGAUCAUCUAGUUCCAAUCCCCUGCCACAAGAACGGUUGCCACCUGCAUGGCCAUGACCUACAGAGGUGCAAUGCAACGCUGGAGUGAUGAGUCGAUUUGUUAUGGAGGGAUCUUUGGAGGUCUCUGCUCAAAUCCUAUGCUCAAAAGAGGGCCAGAUUAGCCCAGGUUGCUCACAGCCUUUGCUCAUCUGGGCUUUGGAUAUCUCCAUGGAUGGCAAUUCCUUUGCCUGUUCAGUGUUUGAUUACUUUAUAGUGGGGAUUCUUUUUCCAUGUGUCUAACCAGAACCUCCCUUGCAGCUGCCUGUGUGCACUUGAACCUUGUCCUUCUCUCUGCACCUACAAAAAGGCUUUGGCUCAAUCUUCUGAACGUUUCCAUUCGGACAGUUGAAGGUGGCAACAAAAUCCACUCAGCCUUGUCUUCUUAAGAUUGAGCAAUCUCAAUUCCUUCAACCUUUCCUCAUACUUCAUGUAAUACAUUUCUUUAGGGAUACUGAGGGCACCGUGGACUCACUCCAGUUUGUCAACAUGAUUUUUGUGGUGGGGAGACCAAAAACUGGAUGCAUUUUGUGGGGAGACCAAAAACUGGAUACAAAUGUGAAACAAUGGGUUUUCUUUUAUUAUUUUUUCACUUCCUAACAGCUCCUAACAUUCUCUUCUCUGUCUGCCUCAGCUCUAAGAUCACAUCUCCGCUGACAGCACCUCACUCAGCACCAGCACUUGUCAGAGUUUCAGAGCUGCUUUUCCCUGUGUGCUUUAAUUUGCCAUGACAGCACUGAACCUCAGCUGCCAUUUUAUCACCCACCCUCUCGG